rnacentral:rRNA from 1 species
CCGCCGCGCGCGGCGGGCCUACGGGAGGCAGCAGUGGGGAAUAUUGCACAAUGGGCGCAAGCCUGAUGCAGCCAUGCCGCGUGUAUGAAGAAGGCCUUCGGGUUGUAAAGUACUUUCAGCGGGGAGGAAGGUGUUGAGGCUAAUAACCUCAGCAAUUGACGUUACCCGCAGAAGAAGCACCGGCUAACUCCGUGCCAGCAGCCGCGUAAUA